rnacentral:piRNA from 1 species
UAAUAUACCUCCACCCAGAGUUUUUGCUACU